CAAUAGAAGAAACAUGUAUAUAUUUCCACCAUUUCAUGGAUGACAAGGGUGAUAAGGGUGAAAAAUAAAAAUUCCAGAAUUUUCCCGACUUGCCAGGUCUUCUAACUUUGUAUCGCGGCGAUACACGGCGAUACGCGGCAGGUCGUUAAGCGAAAGUAAGAGUAGACGUAUGUUCGAUCGUGGGAGAUCGAGACCUACGCGAAUUCCGCACGUUGGACUGCGGUAGCUGCUGCUGCUGCUGCUUUCAGAGAAACACCAAUGGAUAACGGUUCCUCGCGCUCUCGUUCAACUUACCUGUGUGAACUUGGCAUUCCAUUUUUAAUUAAUUUUUAAUAAAUUGUUGUCUAUCGUUAGAGUUUCGUUUGUAGUUGUACCAUUAAUUACGAAGAGAUAAACAAUCGCGCGUAAUACGCAAUUUUGUCAAUUUUUAAGUUAUUUGAAAUCCGUUUCCGCCGUUUCUAUGUUAAAUCAACAUAUAUAUAAUACAUAAUGGAAAUUUCAUUUAUCUUCUAGUCGGGUGCCAACCAUUCUUUCAAAAUGUUACAAGGUUUAUUACCAAGUUCACAUAGGUGUUCAACUUAACGGUGAAUAACAAUGCACGAGUGGAUUUCUCGAUCUCGUCAGUGCGUUUCAAGCUUACAUACCUCAGUUUUGGUUCAAUAAUAGUACAGGCAAAACGUGAUUAACGUAAGAAGGGUAGUCCGUUCGAAUUAACGUCAACUGUACGGAGAGGAUUAUCGAGAUGUACGGCUUCGAUGCAGGAGCCAAGACGGUAGAUAAUUUGCCACGUAUAACAAUGGACAGAAUUAUUAUCGAUAUUAACUCCUUUUGGUUUCUCCUCGUUCGACUCAACUCGUAUAUUUAACGCGUUAACAAUCACUCAAUCAAAAUAAAAAACAAGGAUAUCCAAGUAAAGUUGAUUAAAAAGUAAAAGCGGAUCAAUGCAUCACAUUUAUAUCAAGUACAGGCCUCACGAAGCUCACGCAUCACUCAAGUAUCAUCACUGAUCGUCAAUCACCUCUGAUCGCAAUGUCACCAGAAGCUGAUCAUCGUCCAUCGCGACCCAUUUAUCAAAUGGUGCAUCGCAAAACUACCUAUUCCAUUUGCUGUUAAAAGGCAGGAUACGCGCCAAACACUUACUCGAUUCACUAGGUCAGAUAAUAGCGUCUAUUAAUAACGUUCCCUCAAUGCCGAGCUAUGUAUUGUAUUUCGCGACAAGAUCCAACUACAUCGAUUUCCGGUCAAACGAUCCACGCCCGAAUACUCACGUACGAAUGUGGCAUAUGAAUACGCAUCUUGCAAGACGCGUGUUUCGAUGAUGCAACGUGUUCUUACGCGCUCUGCGUAACAUUGGAAACAGAUUUCAUUUCGCAGUACCUUUCGGGUACGUGCAAAUUACGUAGCACAUUAGCGUAAAAACACAACCGUUUGCACGACUCGCUAGCAAGACUAGUAUCUUGCUAACGCGCCCAUCUAAUUUAUGGAGUGAAACUCUUGAACGUUUCAGGAAAACGUGAUUAACCGAGUUUCUAUCGCUACAUUACACCACAAGACUAAAUGAAGCAGCUGCAUUCCAUGAGACACGAUCUAUGAAAUUAGCGGGAUUACUUGGUUUUAAUUCGUACUCUUUGCUUAUUUUAAACUAAAUGGCACACGUCGAAUGAAACCUGAAAACGAAGAUUGUGAAAUACCCGUAAUGCAGCGCGAUAGACCACUUUUUACGCACUGGUAAUCCCAUUCAUUCAUUGCGCGAAUAGCGUCGCGAAAUGAUUCCAUAGCACUUUCUUCAUUAAGAGUAUCUCUAAUUUCUUAUUACUUUCUAUUAAUGACGACUAGGUUUGCGUAUUUCACGUAAAUUUAUGUUGAUGAUUAGCGUCAGAAACUUGUACAUGGUCGCACAAUGAAUAAAUGUUAUGAAAUAUAUUUAUACGCAUCUUUUCUUUUUUUCGUUCUCCCUUUGCGAGAAAGUGGCUUGCAAUCGAUAAAUUCACGCGAUAAUAAACUCAUUUGCAUGUAAAAUGUAAAUGGAAAGUUUUUACUAUGUGAUAUCAGUAGCUGGUGCUCGAUCGCGCGUCCAAAUGGAACGCGAUGUGGACGAAUUAAUGCAGGAAGGCAGAAUCGUUGAUAAAGAGCCGCGCAUUGUCGAAGUACCGUGAGAGAUUACUCUUGUCUGUGCUUUCACCGUGACUUCCGGAACUGUAAGCCAAUUCCUUCGCGAAUUAUAUAGGUAUAGCUACUCAAAAGUCCAAUCAUCGACGUUUCACAUUGAAAGAAUGUUUAUGAUUAAUGAUUGUGCAAGAUGCAAUGAGAUAUAUAUCACAAUUUCGUUACAAAGCCAGCUUAAAUUGGCAGCACAUUGAUUAGCCUUAUCGAUGUUGGACAAGUUCAAGAUAACGUUAUUAUACGUUAGCGUCGCGGCAGUGCGGUCGCGAACGCAGAUGCAGAUGCAAAUGCAUCUUACGAUAGAUAGACAGAUUUAUAAAAACAUUGUUUUAACAUGUUUAACAUUGUUUUUAAAAAAAUAACACUGGAUAAAAUACAUGCCUACCUUGCGUAUACGCGUGUAUAUGCAAUGGUAUGUUUUACAGAUAAAACUCUACAAAGCACAAAUGAAUAAUAAAUAGAAAAUAUCCUAGAAAAUAUUUAGGCUUGAUUGAAAAAUGUAUAUACGCAUAACAUGUAUGUGUAGCAGCAGCGUGCCAGUUGCAAGUCAUAUAUACAUACAAUGUCGCGCCAGCUUGUCAUACAUGCAAUUUCAUCUUAUUAUAUUAUAAUAUAUCACACGAUCAUCUCGACCUUGUUUCGAGGCCUUCGUCUAUCCUUGAACCCAUAUAUACACAGGUAAUUGUAUUCGAGUCAAAUCCGUCGCCGGUAAUUUACGAUAUAGUCGUAACUAUUAUAUCCUCCUACACUUGCACUUUCUUCGAUGCGCAUUUCGUGAAUGCAAGAUUCGAUAUUCCGCAGUGUGAUGGUCGUCGGUUCGUCCCGCAACCAAAGGGAAGCUUUCUCUUUCGCUGGGGACCAAGUGCCAAUUACGACGAACAAUGCGGAAUACAUUAUGUCACAUCCUCAAUUAAAUUGUCAGAGGGAAUCACUAUCCGUUACUACGUAAUUCGAUUACUCUUUUCUUUGUCACCUUUACCAUGUGUGCUUUCGAUUGAUCGAACAACAAGGUAUUUAUCAACGAGAGAAGCAUAUUGCGCGCGUGAUGCAGUCAUCAUUGUCAAGGUCUCAUGGUAGACGCUCGGAGGAUGAUUGGCUAUCUCUGGUCGGAUAACCGAUGAACCGCAAACAGCCUGAACGACCACUAGACCGGCAGCAUUGUCCCGGAGACGAGACGAGACAUGGUACGUCACCCGCGACCAAGAAAUCCGUGCGCAUGUUGUAUGAAAAGAAUCUGUGCUUCUCAAACGCAAGAUAAACCCUCUCGUUCGACUCAAACCUUGCGAGGAACGUAAAGUCAGGAUUUCCGACUAAAAUAUGUUUGCUGAGCAAAGAUUGCCAUGGAGCAAAGACUGCUAUCGAACAAUCAAGCGGUAACCAAGCUGGUCGGCGUUAUCUCGUUGCAACAAGUGAACACCGAGCUUAUUCGGAGCAGCGGAGGCGAUCGACUUAAUCCGUUGGCUGUAUAGCAUGUAAUUUAUCACGUAAAUACAUUGAAAUUUCACUUUCGAAAUGUCUCGAGCGACCAUAAAAUCCAACCAUCGUGCGAACCUUUAGGAUCUAGCCUGAGGAGGUUGUCGACUCGCAGAGGCAAAUGGUUGCGACGUACGACGUUCGUACGUGACAAGGAAGGAAACGAAAAACCGUCUCGGGAAGCGUUCAUAAUACGUUAUUCAGGACAGGGUUAGCCACCUGAGAAAAGCGUGAGAUAUCGAAAAUGUAGACCAAUAAAUUUUAAAGGAGCAACCAGCUCCGCCGCGCGCUCGGAGCCGUGCUAAAAUGUAUAUAUAUAAACUAGCGAAUUAUCGAUCCGCUCUGCAGAGCGGAUACCCUUUCUGGGUACUGGAGUCUACUAGCUUUACUAGUUUCUUUGUAAGUCGAACUGCACUGCACGAAAAACUAAUACGUUUUCACGUCAAGGUCGUGGAAAAGCGGUCAAAAUAAUUCGUCUGAAGGACAAACUCGUUAAAACAUUAUGUAUCUCUUUCUCUUUCUCUCUCCCUCUGACUCACUCAGGAUUAAAAGAUUAAAGAAAGUGCGUUGCAACGAGAUAGCAGUUGAACGUUGUGUAAUUCUGCAGUCUCUAUCGAGGAAACGAACGCGGAAACGCGGUGCUUUUCUGUUUGCAGCCGUAUCUUUACGAGCCAAGUGUGAUAAUUAACGGUGCAGAGCGACGUUAAAGGCUCUUCCGGCCGCGUCUUCCGCAAAAAAUUGAUGGAACGAGAAAACGGCAAAUGGCGAACGUAAAUGGUAAUAACGAGGAAGAGGACUAGCAGGUAGAUGGAUAAAGGCGAAUAUCGAACGAACCAGCGUGCAGACAUACGCAGCAUCAGGGUUAAGGAAGCGCCGUCCUAUCGAUCCGCUUAUCCGAGAUGGACGAGACGACAGAUCUCGUUGGACUCUUAGAACGUGUAAGACAUGUGGAGAAGAGAUGGAUAACGAUAUAAAGAGUCGUCAAACGAUGCCGUCGACCCGAACGUUGCCGAUCAUCCCGUUCCGCUACGAGUGCUCGUACCAUCAUCGUUGACACGUACGAUCGAGCUCCGCGAGACCGAAAAGAGGAGGAAACGCGCAGCUGAGUAUACAUGCACGUAACCGACGAGAUGGAUACACACAUAGAUAUGAAUAUUGCAUGUUAUAUUUGACGCAUCGGCGCACCAGCGAGCCGGCAAACCGGCAAACGAAAGAAAGAAAGGAAGAAAGACGAGAUCGUGGUUUCCUCGUUCUCCGACUCCGACUCGCCUAAUACUAUAUUCCGCUAUAUCCCGCUACAUUCGCAUCGCGGUUCAUCGAUAUCUCGAUAAGGAUAGAACGUAAAUCCAUCAAGCUAUUUUCUCGUCGUCAUUAUUUGCGAAACGUAUUUGCAAAACUGAAGGAAACGGAGAAAACUUGCAUUUUCCAAGCUAUUAAGGCUGCGCGCAAGUUUCCAACGUUUCUUGGACAACUUUCUUCAUAACUGUUUCUUUAUAAAAAGUUUCCGCAAUGUACGCAAAAUACAUUGUGGCGGGUCAGGAUAUCACCGAGAGAAAUCCUGAGUGACAACUGGCGUCGCGCUUUUACUUUCCAAACCGAUCAUUUGCUCCGGACGUUGCGUACCUAUAUAUCAUACGCAAAUUGACAAACGCGUAUAAGCGAGUACGUUAAUUUCCUUACAAGCUUUUACGAUUCAACGAGACGAAUAUCGACCAAUAUUGUCGUCAACUGUUUCGUAUCGUCAUCGAGCAAGUACCGAGUUUACUUAAUUCGCACACGCGUUUUCAUCUUCUUACGUAAUUCCGCUGAAAUAAAUCGAUGCCGUUUGAGAUCGCAGAGGCAAAAUAUCAAACCCUUUUUAUUUAUAAACAGGGAUUGUGUGCAACGCGUACUACUGCGCUCUAGCCAACCUGUUUGCAUCGUCAACCAUCAACGAUCUGGUUUGUAUCGCGAGUAGACUUACUCGCGUUUUAAUCUCAUCGAUUUUAUCCCCACUGAUCAACGAGAAAAGAGUAUUACGAUUCUGCGACGAGUCGCAAUAUGAUCAUUGGUCAUUUUCGCGUUUGUCUUUACGUUUUGCGAAGAAGACACUUGCAGAUUAUUCAUUCAAAUGUCUUAUAUGCAAUAGAACUUACUAUUAUUCUUACUCUCGUCGACUUACCGAUGUCGAACCAACAGGUUUACACGUGUAAAAUAUCGAUUGUAAAAUAAACUUCCGAAAUCCGA